rnacentral:misc_RNA from 1 species
UGGGAGUGUAUUGCAUCCAUGGCACGUCAUGCCAUUAAAUUUUGGUCACCGAAGGACACUAAAUGGUAAUAUAUAUAUAUAUAUGAAUGAGGAUGUGUAUUACCCAGCUUAGUCCACUCAAAUUCGAGUUGUGACUUCCCACUCUUUUAGUCAUUUAAUUAAUAUAUAAAAUAUGAUAAUUUUUUUAUUAAAAUGAUGAUUUAUUACUGUUUUUAUUAAUAAUAAUUAAUUUAUCUAAAGUUCUGUACAGGAUUGACG